UUGGGUUAAGUCCCGCAACGAGCGCAACCUUGUCAUUAGUUGCCAUCAUUUUGGUUGGGCACUCUAAUGAGACUGCCGGUGACAAACCGGAGGAAGGUGGGGAUGACGUCAAGUCCUCAUGGCCCUUAUGGGUAGGGCUUCACACGUCAUACAAUGGUCGGUACAGAGGGUUGCCAACCCGCGAGGGGGAGCUAAUCCCACAAAGCCGAUCGUAGUCCGGAUCGCAGUCUGCAACUCGACUGCGUGAAGUCGGAAUCGCUAGUAAUCGUGGAUCAGCAUGUCACGGUGAAUACGUUCCCGGGUCUU
rnacentral:rRNA from 1 species